AGGGGAGCCCUAGCACAGGUGCUGCAUGGCCGUCGUCAGCUCGUGCCGUGAGGUGUUGGGUUAAGUCCCGCAACGAGCGCAACCCCGCCGUUAGUUGCCAGCGGUUCGGCCGGGCACUCUAACGGGACUGCCCGCGAAAGCGGGAGGAAGGAGGGGACGACGUCUGGUCAGCAUGGCCCUUACGGCCUGGGCGACACACGUGCUACAAUGCCCACUACAAAGCGAUGCCACCCGGCAACGGGGAGCUAAUCGCAAAAAGGUGGGCCCAGUUCGGAUUGGGGUCUGCAACCCGACCCCAUGAAGCCGGAAUCGCUAGUAAUCGCGGAUCAGCCAUGCCGCGGUGAAUACGUUCCCGGGCCUU
rnacentral:rRNA from 1 species